GCUUAGAAGCAGCCACUCAUUUAAAGAGUGCGUAAUAGCUCACUGGUCGAGUGAUUCUGCGCCGAAAAUUUCCGGGGCUAAAACUUACUACCGAAGCUACGGCAUCAUUAUGAUGGGUAGGGGAGCUUUCUAUGUGGCUUGAAGCAUGACCGUAAGGACAUGUGGACUGCAUAGAAGUGAGAAUGUUGGCAUGAGUAGCGAGAUGUGGGUGAGAAUCCCACAGGCCGUAAACCCAAGGUUUCCAGGGGAAGGUUCGUCCGCCCUGGGUUAGUCAGGACCUAAGCCGAGGCCGAAAGGCGUAGGUGAUGGACAACAGGUUGAUAUUCCUGUACCACCAAUAACCGUUUGAGAAAUGGGAUGACACAGUAGGAUAAGCUAACCGCACUGUUGGUUAUGUGCGGGCAAGUAUUGAGGCAGUUCCGAUAGGCAAAUCCGUCGGAAUAAUGCUGGGGUACGAUGCGGAGCGAAAUUUAGUAGCGAAGUAGCUGAUUUCACACUGUCGAGAAAAGUCUCUAUCGAGGUUAAAGGUGCCUGUACCGCAAACCGACACAGGUGGGUGAGGAGAGUAUCCUAAGGCCAGCGAGAGAACUGUUGUUAAGGAACUCGGCAAAAUGACCCCGUAACUUAGGGAGAAGGGGUGCCUUCGAAAGAAGGCCGCAGAGAAUAGGCCCAAGCGACUGUUUACCAAAAACAUAGGUUUCUGCUAAGUCGCAAGACGAUGUAUAGGAGCUGACGCCUGCCCGGUGCUGGAAGGUUAAGGGGAUCUGUUAGAGCAAUCGAAGCAGUGAACUUAAGCCCCAGUAAACGGCGGCCGUAACUAUAACGGUCCUAAGGUAGCGAAAUUCCUUGUCGGGUAAGUUCCGACCCGCACGAAAGGCGUAACGAUUUGGGCACUGUCUCAACAACAGACUCGGUGAAAUUGUAAUACCGGUGAAGAUGCCGGUUACCUGCGACAGGACGGAAAGACCCCAUGGAGCUUUACUGUAGCUUGACAUUGAGUCUCGGUGCUACAUGUACAGGAUAGGUGGGAGACUAUGAAGCAUGGACGUCAGUCUGUGUGGAGUCAUCCUUGGGAUACCACCCUUGUAGUACUGGGAUUCUAACCAGAGGCCAUGAAUCUGGUCUUGGGACACUGUCAGGUGGACAGUUUGACUGGGGCGGUCGCCUCCCAAAAAGUAACGGAGGCGCUCAAAGGUUCUCUCAGUACGGUCGGAAAUCGUACGAAGAGUGUAAAGGCAAAAGAGAGCUUGAUUGCAAGACAUACAGGUCGAGCAAGGACGAAAGUCGGACUUAGUGAUCCGGUGGUUCCGCAUGGAAGGGCCAUCGCUCAACGGAUAAAAGCUA
rnacentral:rRNA from 1 species